ACGGCUCAGUAACACGUGGAUAAUCUACCCUUAGGACCGGGAUAACCCUGGGAAACUGGGGAUAAUACUGGAUAGGCAAUUUUUCCUGUAAUGGUUUUUUGUUUAAAUGUUUUUUCGCCUAAGGAUGAGUCUGCGGCCGAUUAGGUAGUUGGUUAGGUAAUGGCUUACCAAGCCGUUGAUCGGUACGGGUUGUGAGAGCAAGAGCCCGGAGAUGGAACCUGAGACAAGGUUCCAGGCCCUACGGGGUGCAGCAGGCGCGAAACCUCCGCAAUGUGAGAAAUCGCGACGGGGGGAUCCCAAGUGCCAUUCUUAACGGGAUGGCUUUUCAUUAGUGUAAAGAGCUUUUGGAAUAAGAGCUGGGCAAGACCGGUGCCAGCCGCCGCGGUAACACCGGCAGCUCUAGUGGUAGCAAUUUUUAUUGGGCCUAAAGCGUCCGUAGCCGGUUUAAUAAGUCUCUGGUGAAAUCCUGUAGCUUAACUGUGGGAAUUGCUGGAGAUACUAUUAGACUUGAGACCGGGAGAGGUUAGAGGUACUCCCAGGGUAGAGGUGAAAUUCUGUAAUCCUGGGAGGACCGCCUGUUGCGAAGGCGUCUAACUGGAACGGUUCUGACGGUGAGGGACGAAAGUUAGGGGCGCGAACCGGAUUAGAUACCCGGGUAGUCCUAACUGUAAACGAUGCGGACUUGGUGUUGGGGUGGCUUUGAGCUGCUCCAGUGCCGAAGGGAAGCUGUUAAGUCCGCCGCCUGGGAAGUACGGUCGCAAGACUGAAACUUAAAGGAAUUGGCGGGGGAGCAC
rnacentral:rRNA from 1 species